rnacentral:misc_RNA from 1 species
AGCACUUGCAGAAGCCCUGAAGACAACAGUUGAUAGUCAAAACAUUUCCUUUCUGAAGGCUGCUAGAUCUGCUGGAUAUGCAAAAGAUCAAGAUGAUUUGUCGAGUGUUUUCUUAAAGAAGGGAAGUUACUCUGCAUUUGUGGAGCUGCAUAUAGAACAGGGGCCCAUUCUAGAGGCAGAGGGUCUAUCAAUUGGCAUAGUAACUGCAAUUGCGGCCCCUGCAAGCAUAAAAGUAGAUUUUGAAGGCAAUGGCGGUCAUGCAGGCGCUGUCUUGAUGCCAAAUAGAAAUGAUGCUGGAUUGGCAGCUGCAGAACUGGCUUUAGCUGUUGAGAAACGUGUGCUAGAAUCUGGUUCAGUCGAUACUGUUGGUACAGUAGGUAUUCUGGAGUUGCAUCCUGGUGCCAUAAACAGCAUCCCGAGCAAAUCACACCUAGAAAUUGACACUCGUGAUAUUGACGAAAAGCGAAGAAAUAACGUAAUUGAGAAGAUUCAGCAAUCUGCAAUGACAAUAGCCAAAAACCGUGGGGUCAAGCUAUCAGCAUUCAAGGUCAUAAAUCAGGACCCACCAGCCCUCUCUGAUAAAUCAGUAAUUGAGGCAGUGGAAGCUGCAUCAAAAGAGUUAAACCUGACACACAAGUUGAUGAUAAGCAGAGCUUACCAUGAUUCACUGUUCAUGGCUAGGAUCUCUCCAACGGG